UAGUAUGAACUCAUUUAUCGUCAGAUAUACACUUUCGGAUUGAUACCGGGUUUUUUGUAAUGGUCGACGUGUUUUGUAGUUAAUAAAAAUGUCCAGUCUCUUGAAUGGAUUCUGUGCUCCCUGGUUUAGAGAUAGAGGGGUCCUGGACAUGACCGCCACGGAGAACACCAUCCGUUUUAGUGUCCAUACCCUGGACAAAGCAACCAAAGCAAAAGUUACUUUAGAAAAUUAUUACAGUAAUCUUAUAGCCCAACAUGUAGAACGAAAGCAGAGGUUAGCAAAAUUAGAAGAAUCCUUAAAAGACGACAGUCUCUCUGAGGAGCAGAAACAUGAAAAGAGGCUACAACAUGCCCAAAAAGAAACCGAAUUUCUUAGGUUAAAACGAUCUCGACUAGGCGUUGAAGACUUCGAACCCCUCAAAGUGAUAGGUAGAGGGGCCUUCGGAGAAGUUAGAUUAGUGCAGAAGAAAGAUACUGGCCACGUUUAUGCGAUGAAAAUUCUCAGGAAAGCAGACAUGUUAGAAAAAGAACAGGUGGCGCAUGUGAGAGCAGAACGGGAUAUUUUAGUAGAAGCCGAUCAUCAGUGGGUAGUAAAAAUGUAUUAUAGUUUCCAAGAUCCCAUUAAUCUAUAUUUAAUAAUGGAAUUUCUACCGGGAGGUGAUAUGAUGACCCUACUCAUGAAAAAAGACACCCUUUCUGAAGAUAGUACGCAGUUUUAUAUAACAGAAACAGCACUAGCCAUUGAUUCGAUUCAUAAACUCGGUUUCAUUCAUAGAGAUAUCAAACCGGAUAAUUUAUUGUUAGACGCCAAAGGACAUUUGAAGUUGUCUGAUUUCGGAUUAUGCACUGGUUUAAAGAAAUCCCAUCGGACGGAUUUUUAUAGGGACUUAAGUCAAGCAAAGCCUUCGGAUUUUAUUAUUACCUCAAGUCCGAUGGAUAGUAAACGCAGAGCGGAAAGCUGGAAGAAAAAUAGGAGAGCCCUGGCCUAUAGUACAGUAGGCACACCUGAUUACAUAGCACCAGAAGUAUUCAUGCAAACGGGAUACGGACCUGCUUGCGAUUGGUGGUCACUAGGUGUUAUUAUGUAUGAAAUGUUGAUAGGUUAUCCUCCGUUCUGUUCGGAAAACCCUCAAGAUACAUACACAAAAGUGAUGAAUUGGAGGGAUACGUUGGUUUUCCCCGCUGAAGUACCGAUCUCUGAAGAGGCCAAAGAUACAAUCAUUAAAUUCUGUUGUGAAGCAGACAGAAGACUGGGAUCUCAAAAAGGUCUAGAAGACCUAAAAUUAAAUCAGUUUUUCCGAGGCGUCGAUUGGGAGCAUAUAAGGGAAAGGCCAGCAGCCAUACCAGUAGAAGUUAAGUCAAUUGAUGACACAUCAAACUUUGAUGAUUUUCCUGAUGUUAAACUUGAAAUUCCUUCUGCGCCCCUUCCUCAAGACGGCGAGAUCAAUUAUAAAGAUUGGGUCUUCAUCAACUACACAUUCAAAAGAUUCGAGGGACUCACCCAGAGAGGUACUCCAACGAAGAAAUAGUUGUUUGUUAAUAGUUUUUACCACGAUAAAGAUAUACUAGGCAGUUGAAUGCCCAGCACUUAUUUUUAGAAAAUAAAGUCAUUUAAGAGAUGUUUCUAUUAAUUAUAUUAAAUAAAAAGUAGUAAGUUUCGGUAAAGACAAAUUCCACAAUAUCUUUACAUGCCAUCGAUCAUUCCGUUUAUUAUUAAUUUUUAUUUCUUUAUUAUUUGAUUUUUAAAACUAUGCUAUUUGUUUCAUCGUGUUCUUUUAAUUUUUAACUAUUGCACCAUCAACUCAAACGGUUUAUACAAGGUUGGAAAUCCAAGACAUGAAUGAAUAUACAGUGGAUACAUUUUGCCACACUGCAAGUGUAGUCUACUUCUACUCAUUUAUUUCUGAUAAAGUCACUACAGCGGUUUUAAAGAGUUUGGUGUCAUUUGCUCUAUAAAUAACCAAAUAUGUUUUGUAAGUUGUGUUCGUAUAGUGAAAUUUAACAUUAUUUUUCCUAUAUCAAUAAACUAUAUUCUUUCUAAUCUGCUCUACAUUUGAGACAAAUAAUUUUUUGGUCAUUUUAUUGCAAAUUGGAUUCUUAUUAAAUAUCUUACUUAUGUUUUUAUAAAACACGACAUACCGUUUUUGAUUACACGUAAAUCCUGAAGUAAUACUAUUAACUGAAAAAAAAAACUCGAAAUCGAUAAAAUGCCUUGUAUUGUAUCUGCUUUUUUUAUCUCCGUAACAUUCUUAACGAUGUUCCAUUUGAAUCCUUGAUUCCAGUUCUUCACGUUCCAAUACUGUUUCAAUUUUUUAUUUACUGAUUUUAAUUUAUCAAUUAAAUUAUCUUUAAAUUAACUGCUUAAUCAAUAAUGUAUAUUAGGUCUCUCUAAUUUAAGAUUAAAUAAAAUAUAUUAGAUAAAUAGAGUAUAUUACUAAAAUUGAAAAUACAAAAGGAAUUUCUUAGCUUCAUAGAUAUAUUAUUAAUAAUUUUAAAAAAUACAUUAAACAGUUGAAGUUACUGACUCGUUAGCAAACUAAAUAAAAAUAAAACAUGUGGAAUUUGUUUGUGCCGAAAUCGUUAAAUGUUCUAUCGAUUGCGCUGUAUUGUUUUCUAAAAAUAAGCUAUUUUGUGUAUUAUAGGUCUGAAGCAGUUUUGCACUGUUUUGCUUUUUUAAGAGCUGUGAAAACUGUAUCUUGCAUUGUUCUCGACGCUAUACUUCUAGAAGUAUCGUACACUUCAAAAUUAUUUAAUUCAUUAUAAGCACUUUUCCUGUACAAGACUUACAUCGUUUCGUCAAAUAUUAAAUAUACAUUACGCUUACACGAUUAACAAUUUUACAUUUUAACUUAUGUGAUCAGUUAUGUUACAAUUUUUAUUUUUUACAAUAAUAGAUUUUUAUUUCCUAUUUUUUAAUGUAAAGAUCUGCUUUUUAUAUUUAAACAUUAUUAAAGAUUUUUGGUUUUAUACUUUCAUUCUAUUUAAAUGAGAAAUUUGAUGUGAUUAUCAAAAUGAUCGAAAUGGUAAUUUGAAAAAAACUAAUAUUUUUGAUUCGGAUUAUUACAAGAGAACUGACAACUUUAUCAUUAAAAAGAGUACCUAAAUAAUUGUACUUUCUCGCUUUUUCUCACUCGUUAGAAGCAUAGAUUUGGUUUUGUUUAUGUUUAGUGUAGUCCAUAUUCCUCACUAUCUUCCAUGACUGUAUUGAUACGCGCCUGUAGGUAUUUGAAGUGUUCCGACUAUCAUCACUGUAUCAUCUGCAUAUCUCAGAUUGUUAACUCGGCUUCCGUUAAUUUUAACGCUAUAUAUAUUCUUGACCACUCAAUGUUUUAUUCAUUCCUCCGAGUUCAUAUUGAACAGGAUUGCGAAAGCACACAACUCUGACGAAAUCCCUUCUGUGUUUCUAUAUUUUCAGUUGAAUUUUCUUCUUUUUGUACUAAUUUUAGAGUUCUCGAAGUCUAGAGUUUUCCUGUAUCAUUUAUCUGAUUACUUUCACAUUGAUUAUCGUAAAUGAGCCAUAAUAAAUAAAUAUCCACAAGGAAAAAGUUUUCCUGUAGUUGGCUAUAUACCAUGUAAUACAAAAAGCAAUAAAGUCCUUUAUAAAAGGUAUAUAUUUAAAAUCCCUAAAAAGGGCUACAUCACAGAACUAGUUUUCGAUUGGUUGACCAAUCAUCAUCAGUGCUUACGUGAAAUUUACAUGCUAACCCCAAGAUAUAUUUUUACAAAAAUAUGUGGGUCAUGGCCUUUUACAAGUGAUCCGUCAAGGAAACAUCGGUUAAAAAUGCUAACUUAAGCAUGGAUGUUAGCAAUAUUUCGUUAAUACGCCCCAGGUAACAUCUGAGCUAUGGUUGGACUUGUUCACAUAGUGUCAGUAUGGCAGCAAGUGAAUAAAUACUUGCAAUUGAUUCGAGUGUCGUUCUAAACUGAUUCUCCCCCGAUUCUAAACAGCUCUUUAUAAAUUCUACGAAAACAGUUUGUUAAAGAACAUCAUCAUCAUCAUAGACAUUAAUAUGUUAGCAGAUUUGUUGGGGAUCAUCAUUGAGCUUCAGCAGCUCGGAUAGUUUGAUUAAUGAUAGCUUUGGUCGAAGUCAUCUGUUACAUGUACUGUAUACUGUUUGUUGAGAAGCUUUUUCGCAAUGUCUGCCCAUCACUGUAGAGAUUUAUCGCGUUGGCGUCGACUCUGUGGACCGAUUCUAUAAGAUCAACGCGAAACAAUUACGUUCGUUGUCGCACGGUUUGCUAUCCUGUAAGCUCAUUCGGGAAGAAUCGGAGAAGCAGAUCACGAAGCCGAUUACAAAGCGAAAGCGAUAACUAUUGGUAUUGGUAGUGAUUGGUCGAUCAUUUUCACGUGGCACACAAGCGCAAGCGCUAAGCGGGUUGUUCGUUGUUGUUGAUUCCACAAGAAUUAUUGUUGAUAAUGAAUUCGUGAUGCUCUUACACCAUCUUCCGUAAGUUCCUGUAGCUCCUCAAUCGAACUAGUUCUUUGCUUAAGCGAAAAAUAUCAAUAAACCUUCUAUCUGUUAAACCAAAUGGGUCACUUCUAUCUCGAAGGAGCCUGUUUUCCUCUCGCGUUAACCGCAGUUGGUUUCUUCGCUCGAGUUCUCCAUAUAUGUAGAACAAAUUGCACCGGCAACAUUUUUAUUAAAAUAUAAUAAAAAUAUAGUUAUUCAAGGAAAUAAUUCAAUCAAACUUGUGGUUAAAUAUGUCAUGUAACUAUCUAGUUACUCUUCUUCUUUCUUUACUUCUUCUUUUUUUACUUCCUGCACAUUUAUUUGCAAUGUUGCCAUAAUUAUUUAUUCAUGCGUCGUUUAAACUCGUAUAUUAUCGUAUGCCGCUAUGAUAACGAAGCGAAAGCGAAAACUAACCUUAUAUAAUAUGAACAUAAAUCAACUUCGCUAUCGUUUAGCUUAGUUUCCGCGAUAAUAAGGAAAAUUAUAGAAUUCGCCUACUGAGGUCUUUGACCUAAGAACUUCAAAAUUCUAGAGUAAACAGUACUAGAGAGACGUUGAUUGGGUUUAAUAAUUAAAUCUAGAACCGAGACAUUCGUGCGGUGAGCCGUCCGUGGAAUUCGAAACAGUCGUUUCCAUGUCUCUACAUUUCAAAAGCGUCUAUGAGUUGUCUAUAUCAGCGGUUCUCAAUCUGUACCACUGGUGGUACAUAUCAUUAUUUGCGGUGGUACACAAAACACAAAAAAAUUUAAAAUAAUAGACGGAGAGGCAGCGCUGAAAAAUCUCUUUGAAUUUACUAAAGCUAAAUUUUUCACAGUUGAUUACUGCGAUUGUGUAGAGAAACAUACUACGGUCGGUCAAGCGAAACGUAGUACAGGGAUUACUGAGAGGGUAUCAAAGUUGCUUUCCUACGAAGGUAAUUAAAUCCAUUUACUAAGGCUGAAAAUCAGUACGCACAUUCUAAAUUGAAUAUAAAUAAGAUUUAUUAUAGUCGGUCAGCUGUAUGACGGGACAGAGCCGGUCGGUCGGCCCCAAUGAAUGUACAUGGUUAUUCACUAUAUUUUGACCCACUUGUAAACUGCUUUAUUUACAGAAUUAGAAAAAAUGUAAAAUACAAAAGUUAUUCGAUUUUUUAUUUAUGAUUUUUUGACAUGUAUAUCGCACUAGUGACGUCAUCCAUCUGGGUUUGAUGACGUAAUCGACUAUGUUUUUAAAUAAGAAUAGGGGUCGUCUGCUAGUUUAUUUGAAAGGUUAUUCAAUUCUCUAUGCAGUACUAUAAACAUUAAGAUCAUUAUUUAUACAGGGUGUCCAAAAACAAUUUGAAUUAUUAAUUAAACAAUUAAUUUGAUGAAAAAAAAUUUUUGGACACCCUGUAUAAUUAAUCAUGUUAAUGUUUAUAUUACUGAAUAGAGAAUUGAAUAUCCUUUCAAAUGAGCUAGCACUCGACCCCUAUUCCCAUUUAAAAAAAUAGUCGAUUACGUCAUCACGCCCAGAUGGAUGACGUCACUAGUACAAUAUAUUUAUUUGUCAAAAAAUCAUAAUUAAAAAAUCGAAUAACUUUUGUAUUUUACAUUUUUUUCUAAUUCUGUAAAUAAAGCAGUUUACAAGGCGGUCAAAAUAUAGUGAAUAACCCUGUACAUUCACUGGGGCCGACCGACCGACUCUGUCCCUUCAUACAGCUGACCGACUAUAAUAACUUUUAUUUAUAUUUAAUUUAGAAUGUGUGUACUGAUUUUCAGCCUUAUUAAAUGGAUUUAAUUACCUUCGUAGGAGAGCAACUUUGAUACCCUCUCAGUAACCCCUGUUCUACGUUUCGCUUGACCGACCGCAGUAUGUUUCUCUACACAAUCACAGUAAUCAACUGUGAAAAAUCUAGCUUUAGUAAAUUCAAAGAGAUUUUUCAGCGCUGCCUCUUGGACUAUAAUAGUACUUAGUAAGUCUUGAUAAUACUAUCUAAAAAUAUAGGUGGUAACAAAAAUAAUAAAAAUAACUGUAGGUGGUACAUGACUCAAAAAGGUUGAGAACCGCUGGUCUAUAUGAUUCUGUGACUGUCCAUGUCUCGCAUGCAUAGUAAAGUAUAAAAAAGACCAGAGUUGAAACGAGCCCCUUCUUGUUUCUCAUAGUAAUGUGAUGUUCACGCCAUAUCCCGUUUAGUUCAGUCAUUGCUGCUCUUGCCAGUUCACAACUGCCUGUGAUGCUAACUAGAGCUCGGGUUUUAGGAAAGUGUUGUUGGCGAUCAAUAAUCAUGAUGUUGGUUUUGUUAUAGUUAACCAUGAGUCCAAACUUAGUACUAUGGCUCGAGUUUUUUUAAUAACUUGUAACAGUAAUAACAGUUUUAAUAACAAUGUAAACAGUAACAAGGCCCGCCGAAGGUGUACGGUUUUAUAUUUUAUCGCCAACCGUCACUAAGGCUAAGGCUCUACGGGCGACAAUUUUACGCCAGCAGUAGCCGUAAAACGAACUUAAGGUUCCGCGGAACGGAAUAGGAAUAGCCGAACUGAACCGACUACGCACAAGUCCUGUAGUCGGUUCAGUUCGGCUAUUCCUAUCACGUUCCGCGGAACCUUAAGUUCGUUUUACGGCUACUGCUGGCGUAAAAUUGUCGCCCGUGGAGCCUUAGCCUAAAGUCAUUCAUUAUUGUAUUCAUUUGCGACAGUAACGUAACACUUUAUUGUACUGAAAGAAGUAUUUUACUUUACCUGCCGCGAUUAAUCGAAUGGCGAGAAUUUGAGUGAGCUUAAAAUUUAUUUACUUUAAUUAUUAAAAAUAUUGUACACAAUUUGCGUUAUUAUCAAUUAAAUUUAUGUCAAAAAAAGUGAAAUUCUGUAGCAUUUUGUAAAUAUAUUCAUAUAAAAUAAAUUAAAACUUUACACCGAUUUAGUAAUUAUUCAAUAUUGAUAACUAUCGAUUAAAAAUCGAAAGCGGCCAUCUUGCAAAAGUUAUCUGUCAUCACUGUCAUGAAAUUAUUAUGACGUCUAAAAUUUUAAAAAUUCUUAAAUUAUAAAUUGCAAGUAAGUGUUAAAACCAAUAUCAAAUUAUUGUAGAAAGUGAAAUUGUAGAUAAUAGCUAUUUGUAUAACAAGGGAGGAAAGUGCUACUUUUCCUCCCGAGAAUGAAGUUUACUGCCCGACGCGUAGCGGAGGGCAGUAAUCAUUCAAGGGAGGAAAAGGCACUUUACUCCCACGUUAUACAUAUGGUUUUUCCACCUUCCUCAAAUAACAAGUCAUUUUUUGAUUUUUACUUAAUUUAUUUAUGUAACUAACCAACAAAAUUUAUUAAAACUAAAACUAACAAGUAGGUAGAAUAUAACUGUCAACUGUCAAAUAUAAGUCAAAUUAUUAAUGUAAACAUUGUUAAAUCAAAAUAACAAUUUACUGUUUUUUACCAUUCUGCAAAAUACAGAGUGUUUUAUAAAUAAACGUUAAAAUGUAUAGAUACUUACGUAAAAAUGUAAGAUAUUGUACAGGGCGUCAAUAAGUUAUAUUUCAUGAAUGAAAUACCAUGACGUCACUUUUACUUUUCCUCCCUAGGGAGGAAAAAUAUUUUCCUCCCUAGGGAGGAAAAGUACAACUUUGCUCCCUACAAUCUGGUCCGGAAAAGUAUACUUUCGGUAGAGGUAGGUGGAAAAAUAUAUUUUGGCAUUAUCCAAGCUGUCCAGCUUUCAGUACUUCAUUUUCCACUUUUUCAUUCAGGGAUUAUUAAAGUUAAAGAUAAUUAAUUUUAUGAAAUAAUGAAGAUAAUCAAAUUUAAAAAAAUAGUGUUAUAAUGAGAUUUUAAGGAAGUUAAAUAAACGACAGAUUUUUAUUUAAUUUAUUUUAUAAAUUUUAUAUUAUUUUUAAAUAAUUACAGAGCCCAAACUCUUACGUAGUCAACUUUAAGGUGCGAAUAUCAAAUAUCAAUCACAUUAUGUUGGCGAAAAAAUUUUAUAUGCACCACGUCAGUAAAGACCCUUUAUCGAACUCGUCUGUUACUCGCCUCGCUAGCUACGCUCGCUCUUCUCGUAACAUAAAGACUCGUUCGAUAAAGAGUCACUUUACUGACUUGGUACAUAAAUAACUAUUACACUAUUAUUUAUCGCUUUAUUACUACAACGGUAAUAAAAAGAAAUCAAAUAUAAUAUAAAAAUAAAAAAAAUAGGCAGAAUGAUGGUCCAGAAACCAGAAAAAGAAUCUAAUAUUUUACUUUGUUAGUUUGAAAUAAUAAUAAUUAUUGUUUGCCUCGAGUGGAUGCAUUUUUUCAUUUAACUAUAUCUUCUGUAAUUUGUUUCGACUUAUUUUUAAAAUUAUCUAAUUUCAUAAUGGAUUUUCAAAAAAAGAGUGCAAAAAAUGUUUGGUUACAUUUCGAGAGUAUUUCCAAUGAAAAAGCGAAAUAUAUUUUGUAAAAACAUUUAUUCUUACAAAAAUGGAAGUGUUACGAAUUUACAAAAACAAAUGAAAAUAAACACCCCGCUCUAGACAUAAAUGAGAUAAGACGAGAAAGAGACAAGUAUCGAAAACUAUUAUUACCAUUACCUUUUAAAUACAAAUCCUUAAAGUCAUAAAUACAGUGAUGAGCGCGAUAAUGACCGGCAAAAUAACGCAAAAGAUAGAAAACAUUGAGAAAACAAUGGAAAACAUUGUGAAGUAAAAAGAGAUGAAACUAGUAGAGGUGGAAAUUAUCGAUAUAAACGUAUAAAUUACCAUUGCAUUACAUAGUUUCCCACCGUUAGACGUCUGUGACAGGAGUAUUUUAUAAAAUUAUCCUGCGGAGGGACCGCAGACGUUCGGAUACAAUUAGCGUCUCUUUGCAAAGACAAUGACGUCGACUUUGCAAAGUAACAAGACAUUUACUCAACACACACACUACACAUUACACCUGAGAUAGUGAUAAGUUAUACAAUUACGUGGCUAAAGGUUCUAGUUCUAAACCAAGGCCAGAAUCAGAGAAAAAAAAUUAUCCUGUCACAGUGACAGUUGUCAUACUCCUCCGAUACGUCUAAAGGUGGCAACUAUGUAAUGUAAUGUUAAUUUAUACGUUUAUAUCGAUAAUUUCCACCUCUGCUAGUUUCAUCUCUUUUUGCUUCACAAUGUGUUAUGUUUUCCAUCUUUUGCGUUAUUUUGCGUAUUCUACCUAAAAACUAAAACUACCGAAAGUAACUAGUACCGGGUAUUGAUAGUUAAAGUAACGAAUCUUUACAAAUAUUCAAAAGUAACCAAAAUGUACAUCACUACUCUUAUGUAUUGUUUUACACAUUGUUGAUCGAAUAUUCGGACAUUUUGAACUUAAUUGUCAAUUUAAUUAUUGUACAUAGAAAAAAGUGGUAUUUUUACAUACAAAUAUUUUCAUAAAAUGCAUUUUAAUUCGCAAAUAAUUCUACGAACCAGUGAUUUCAGAAGACGGGAGUUGGUUUCGAGUUCGAUGCAAGCCUUUAUUUUUUGUGUAUAUGUUAAUUUUUGUUCAUUGUUACAAAGUGAUACUUUUUAUUAUUUUACAUUGUUUUUAACUUAUAGAAUCGUGUUUUUCGGGCUUGAGCAGCCGAGAAAUAUUUUGUAUUACGUAGCUUGAUUUAUAAUAAUGAUGGUCAAUAUUAUAAACCAAUUUGUGAUUUGCUUAGAUACAAUUAAGAUGAUACGUAGUCAUUGCAUAUUUAAUUCUGUCACAGUUCACAUGAAGUGUAAGGAGAGUAGAGAACUAACAUUUCUAAUGAAAGUGUGCACUUAAAAAUAAAAAAAGGAACCAUCCAAAAUGUGUCCUUAAUUUGAUCAUUUUUCGUUUAUAGCUUGAUUAAUCACCUAUCAAUCGAUAAACCAAAUAUACUGCUUAACAACAAAUUGGUAUAGAAUUUUGGAAACAGUUUGGAUGGAUUUGUUUUCCGAUGAAUAUUGGAAGUGGUUUAGUUUGUAUUAAUUUCUUUUUAAUCGAAUUAACUACAACCCACCGAAAGUAUGAAAACGUCAAAUUAUUCAAAAAUGUCGCUAAUAUGUAUUUUUCUUUGUUAACGUUUUAAUUGCCAUUAUAUUUUUCAUUCGUACGGUACACCGUUGCACUAAAACUGUGUCACAUUUAAACUGUCAUUGAAGGCUCAUAAUUUCGUAACGAUUUUUGUAGAGAAGAUUUACAAGAUUGAAGUCGGUCUUAUUUAAAUGUCUGUUCUAGUCAUGGGCUUUUCUGAAACUUCAGUAACAUAAGAUGGUAAAUCCAAGAAAUUAACGCACCACCUUAAAAAUGGGUCAUUUUUGAUGUCUCGAAUUUCCUGUCGUCCGAUUUAAGUGAUUGUUUUAAUAUGUUAUAUCCUUAUUCUUUAACAAUAUCGCUGUACUAAUAUUGUCGCUAGACAUUUAAAUUGUCAUUGUAUACCGAGUGUACCAAUCAAACUGUGCUUUUUUUUCUGAAAGUUCACCAUACCCAGUGGAAUAUUCUAGCAUUUCUGAAAUACUGAAAUUAAAACCUAACUAUAGCCUCAGAUUUUCUUAACAUUCUGUUUUUUUAUUCAAUCGCGUAUGUUGGAUAAUAAAAAAGUUAGGUAUGGUUCUUUUCAUGAGCAUUUUUCAGUGCGUCACAGUUUUUCGAUUUUUCUCUAACGCAUUAAAUUGUAUGUGACAGAAAAAAACGCACGUCGCUGAUUACAUUUCGUCGGUGACUUUUAUAACAUCUAAUCUAGUUGUCAAUAGAUGGCGCUAAUAAUAUAAUAUUAAAUAAUAUUAUAUUAUUCUAUAUAAAAAAAAUUUAAUCUGUACAAUUUAUAAGACUAUACAAAUCAAAGAAAAUACCAUUUUAUAAAUGCAAUAAAAACAAUUGAUUUGUUUUUAUACCAAAUUGCAAAUAAAAUGUGACAACUGUCAGAUUUAACUAAAAUGUCAUGUUAGAAUAAAUGUCAUAAAUGUGUAUUUAUCACGGACUAACCUUUUUUUCUAUCAUUUGUGAUGCACUGAAAAAUGCUCAUGAAAAGAACCAUACUUUAACAACUAGCCAUGUUUUUUAUCAAUAGGGUGUGUGCGACAAAAAGCCGAUGCCGCACUGCAGGAAGUUUGGUAGGAUGGUGGAUGGUAGAUACCUGCCUGACGACCAUCCAGCUACUUAUACCACGAAUAAUACAACGACGGUAGCCGCAGUGGCCUCCCACUACCAUCUAACCAUCUGGUUGUCCGCCAGGCGUCUAUCCACCCAAAUCAGUCAUGUUUGAUAUUCCAUCCGGGUAGCCUGGCUAUGGAGGAAAGCGUAAUAAGUGCUGUAUAUAAAAGAAGGGCAAUUUGGGACCCAACAGACCCACUAUUUGACGAAAAAUGGCUUAAAAUAUCCGUUUUAUUUAUUCUUUGCAGUUGCAUUAAAAAAAUCCAAUAUUCAAGUCAGGUGAAUUUAAAAAACAAUUUAUACCUUUAAGUCGAUUUUUCUCCACUUUCUGAAAAGUGUAAUUAGUGAGUUUAACGUUUUACCUCUAAUUGGACGACAUGCUAAAAAACAAACCAAAUGUAACAUAACAAAUGAAACAAACGAUUCCUCAGCAGUCAGUUGGAUACUGACUUCAUUUCACUCUUUCACUGCGUCCAGGAUGCAGCGCCUCUCCACCAUCCACCCUUAAAAUCCACCCUCCAAGCGACCAGCUAGCAUCCUGCAGUGCGGCAUCGGCUUAAGGGGUAAUUCUGCAUGAAAAAGAAAUGACAGUUUGCUUUAUAAACGUCUGUCCGCAAUUGCUUCGUUUCCGAGAUACGGGAAAACAUGCUAUUACAAACUAGGCACUUGUUGUCACUGGUACAGCAUAUUCCCAUGUUGGAUUGUGCUGAAGUCACUGUUAAUUGCAGUAAAGGGAAAGUCUGUGAAAUCAAGAGUUAAUGUUUAGAGAUGUAUCCCAAAUGGAAGUUAUGAACAGUUUGUGACAGACAUUCUAACAACUCUUUGAACAUACUAAUCGCAGCCGUAUCAAGUUUUAUUUUCAAUUUCACGUUUCAACGAAAAAAAAUUUAAAAUUCUGAAUAUAUUUAUUUCUGAUACAUGAAACCUAAUGUUUUGUGUUUCAACCGCUUAAAUUAUCGAUAAAAAUUAAUAAUUAAUAUGAUUUUCAUUUAUGUGAUUAAAAAAGAGAAAAACAGGCAAAGGAGUUAAAGUAGGAUAUAACAAAAUUUUUGAGUCUAUGGUUUCAUUCUAAUAUUACAAAUUUAGCCUAUUGUACUACUACACUUUCCGGUAUAACAGUUCAGUUAGUCAAUUUUUGCGAAAACAAUGUUGACUCCCCUAAUUUUUAAAUAGAUAUUAUAUGAGACAUGUCAAGGCAAAUCAUAAGUGUGGUUGUGCUAUAAGUUAGCAACAUUCCUUUCUGCUUCUGUCAGUGAGAUCAUUUUUGUCAUUCAAACACUUUGGAAAUUCAAGGCACAAGCCAAGCAUAUUUGCAGUGAAGAAAUGUGAUUUAUGAUGGAUCAAACAUAUUUAGUUAAAAGAAAGAAGAAACGAAAGUUUUUAGUUUAUGAAGGAAAUAUUACAAGUUUUAAAAAGGUAUCCAGUGUAAAACAUAUUUUGCCACAUACGUGUUAAUUGUAAGGGCGGCCGUACAGGGACUGCUGGGGUAGUUUACCCUGAGUGACAUACACGGAGAGCUCGAGCGGUCGUCGCCGACAGCUGGAGCGAUCGAUUAUUAAUUGCUCGAGCUGUUACUUGCAACUGCUUUACUUUAGCAAUUGACUUUCUGCCGCAGUUGAAUCAUGUAGUCUAAGGUCCGAAUAGGAGGUCAAAAUGUUUUCAACUUUACGCGAAUCUGCUUGCCGGAUGAAACAUUUUUUUUUUAUUAAAUUUCAUACAUAGACAAAUAUUUCUAGCAUGGGUUGCCUAUCAAAAUCGUGUCAUAGCUAUCAUUAAGGGGGGCCGAAGUGGUUGAAAUCAAUAUUUCAAACAUAUUUCUUUUUGAAGGUAUGGUAGAAUCAUUUUAUUUUUAAAUUAAAUAGGCAUAUUCAGUACAAUUCAUAGAUUACUCAAGAAAAAAAUCAAGGAAAAAUACUGAAAAAUAAGCCAACGGUGGCAAAUUUUUAAAUAACACCUCAAAAUAUAAUGAAUUUUGAGGUGGACAUAAGAACUCAUUAUUGGAGGUAGGGCUAUUUAACACUAUCUCCCUACCUCCCUAAUACCUUCGACUCGUUUUAUAGCAAGUUCGUGACAAAUGCGCUUGAGCGUAGUGAGAAACGGUCAACAGCUGUUCUUAUUUUCUUUUGUAAAUUACUCCGCGAUUCAAGAACAUAUCCGGUGUGCAUCACUUUACGAUUUGACAGACAAAAAAGAAAUUGAAAAUAAAAGUUGACAAUACUUUAAACGCGUUUCUCUCAAAAUUACUUUUUUCAGGCUGUAGACAUUGUAACUCAAAAACUACUUGACCAACUCACCUGGAAUUUUGUAUAUAUUUUCUACAAAAAUUCCUUGAGGUAACGCUGUCGAGAUAUUUUUGUUUUAAUGCUUAUUUUUUGUUUAACAAUAAUAAAUAUGUUGAUUUUCACCCUUUUUUGCAAAAAAAAUUUCUUUGUUUAGAUUUCUAAGUGAAAAUAAAAUGUUAGAAUUAGAUAAAACUAAAAAAACUCGACAGCGUUACCUCGAGAAACUCAUACGCUAAUAAAAUCUUUUUGAAUUUUUUGUUUACCGUGAUUCAAUGGUGAGUUUUGAUGUCCACCGCAAAGUUCAUUAUAUUUUGAGGUAUCUUUCAAAAAUUGGCAACCGUUGGCUUAUUUUUCAGUAUUUUUCCUUGAAUUUUUUUUUGAGGAAUCUAUGAAUUGUACUAAAUAUGCCUAUUUAAUUUAAAAAUAAAAUAAUUCUACCAUACCUUCAAAAAGAAAUAUGUUUGAAAUAUUGAUUUCAACCACUUCGGCCCCACUGAAGGAUAGCUAUGACACGAUUUUGAUAGGCAACCCAUGCCAGAAAUAUUUGUCUAUAUAUGAAAUUUAAUAAAAAAAAAUGUUUCAUCCGGCAAGCAGAUGGGUACAUUUUGACCUCUUAUUCGGAUCCCGUACUAAUGGAUUCUGACGACGAAGCACAAGCACCGCUUUUGACUGCUCCUAGCGCAGUUAAUAGCUCGAGUAGUCAGUGUCUGCCAGGGCAACCGCUCGCGAGCUGUCGACAUCAUAAUGAAAUUUCAUCGUGCUGUUGACAGCUUGAAGCGGUCGCGACUGCUCAAGCUGUCAUGUGUAUGGCAGCGAAUAUAAGAUUAUAGUUCACGGUACUGUCUCAGCGUCAAGCAGUCGAUCUCAACUGCUUGAAGCUCUACGUGUAUGUCCGACCUAAUACAUUUUUUGAAGCGAAGCUUUUUAAUUUUCGUGAUGGGGAACUAAAUGGGAAAAAGUGAAACGACAAGAAACUUUUGAGUAUUAUUGCUCAAGCGAGUGAGCGAGAUGAUGAGUUUCUUCUACAAUGAAAAGUCUUACUUGAAGUUUUCCUCAGAUGAGCUGGUGAAUAUUUUUUAGAUCUUUUAGUUGGUUACGGUUCUAUUAAUGAUUGUAGUAGGGAUUUGGAUGGAGCAGUAGUCUGUCAUAAUGCAAUAUUCCUUUCAUGAUAAAGAAACAGGAAUUUGCUUUGUAUAAAUACUUGGUUAUGUAACAUGUAGCUUCAGUUAGUAUACGAAAUAUUUUUAAUCCCAUUAUUGCAAUGUCAGUUUUGCUUGUGCUACCCCUUCACUCCGUAUAACCAAAAUGGUCUAAUUAUUAUUUUGUAAAUUAAAACUUUAUUGUUCUAAAUGGGAAAAAAACUAAAAACAAUCCGAUCACAACUCACAUUUUUUAUAUCGAUUUUUUUGCUUUUUUGAUGAUGUAUUUCUUCAAGGUUAUGAUGUGUUUAUAUCAGUAUGGAUAGACACUUGUUAAAUUGAAAAUCCCAAUAUAUAUAUUGAAAAAUAAAGCAUUACAGUUUUUGUAAGAUUCUGAGUCACCUGAUUGUUUGAAAAUAUUAUAUUUUCAUUUAUACAUAUGUUUAUUUCAGUGGAUGUGAGAUUUUGUUUGUAUUACAGUUUAUACUAUAGUUUGUUUUUAAACCAAGAGGAGUGAUUCAAAUUUACCGCGCUGUAAUGCUUGUUUGUAAUCGCAGGCAAGUUUACUCCACUGUUAUAAAAUUUUGACACUAAUGACAGUUAUCAAAUUUUGACACAAUUGGCAUUUCAUAGGUUAAUUAAGUUAUAUCAGCGAUUUUUUGUAUUUCCUGCGUUAUUCCUUUAAUUUUUAGAUUUUUAGUCUGCUUUUAUACCGGGUAUCCACUUAUAUUUUCCCCAUUUUAACUGCCUAUAACUUCUAAGCGGCUCAAGAUAGAAAUAUGCGGUUUUCGCUGAAAUGUUUUAUUUUAGUAAAAGUUUUGUUUGCAUGGAUUAAAUUUUUAUAUCACUGUUAAAUAAAAAAUUGCGGAUUUUUGAAAAAAAAACGGUGUUGACUUAUUUUAUUGAAACACCCAGUAUAUUUUUUUGUAGUGCACCAAUUUGCUUAGUUAUAUGUUAUUUAGUUAUGUGAUAUCCACGUUGCAGCUCUCAUUUUAAAAAUUAAUUACUCAGUCAUUUAACAACCGAUUUUAAAAAACUUUAUAUCGCUGGAUAGGUGAAUGACCGUUCUUUCAAUUUACAAAAAAAUAUACUGGGUAUUCAAAUAAAAAAAAAUUAACAAAGUUUUUUCAAAAAUCCGCCAUUUUUCUUUUCGUAAUUGACAGCGAUAUAAAAAAUGCAAUGCAUUCAGACAAAACUUUUACUAAAAUAAAACAUUUCAGCGAAAACCGCAUAUUUCUAUCUUGAGCCGUUUAGAAGUUAUAGGCAGUUAAAAUGGGGGAAAAUAUAAGUGGACACCCGGUAUAAAAAGCAGUUGUUUUUAGAACUCUUUAGCGACGUAUUAAUAUAAUAUAACAUUUAUGGAUUACCGUCGAGGGCCGACAUGAUCAAUCAAAAAAGAAGAUGUAUUUCGUGAUUAUUCUAGUGACUUUCAUGGGUGUGAAUCUGUCUUUUUAGUUUACUCCUCCUGGUUAAAAAAUAAACCAUAGUUAAGUAUAAAAACAUUCAAGAUUUGAUAUUUUUCAAAAUUUUCAAUACCUUUGUAUAUUCGCUAUUUUAGGUGCUCACUAUCUAAUGGCGUUGUGUAUACCCAGUAUAAUAACACGAUUAAUGUUAAUUUUUGAUUGGCAAAAUCAUUAAAAUAAAACAAGUUGUUGGCUGGUAGUUCGAAUAUAUUACAUCAAUGGGGAAUGUUACAUGCAAGGAUACAGAAAAAAAGCCAUUUUGCGUACUUUAUAGUCAAUUAUUAUCAAAGAAGUAAAAAGAUUUAUACGUUUAUUAGUACACACAAUAAAAUUUAUUCUCAUUUCUACGCAAUUCAUUAGAGAAGCCCAAAAUUUCCGACCCUCUGCUAAUUUUUCAGAUCAGUAGUACUGUACAAGACUACAGAACUAUCUGACAUUGCCAAGGUCAGCCGAUCGAAAACUUUGGCUACGCGAUAUUGUCAGAUCAAUCGGAAUUCAAAGAUUUUUCUGUUUUUUAUUUGCUACCUGUUUCAUUUCUUUCUAUGUAUUUCUUCCUGCAUACAUUUUAAAACAAUGUAUUCUAAAUAAACAACUAUUCGACGAUUUUAUCUGGCAAUGUCGCAAAACCACUGAUUUCGUACACAAUGCAUUUUAAAUUGAUGUUUACUCUUUGCACCAACGCGUUCAACUGAGUUACCUUCCAAUUUCAGAUAUUUCUGUACAACUGUACCAGAUAAGUGUCUGCCCUCCUCAACAUGUCGCUAAAUUGCCAUGUAUAUACUGUCGACAUGCACGACGGCAUUUCAUGUACAUAACCAUCAAAUGCGUUGUAUGUAGCACGCUUAUCGAGUUUUUUGUAGUGUAACUGCAAUUAAUAUCCACGAGUAUCGGGAAACUUACUCAGUAAACUGUUAGAUGUUUAGCAAUUUGAUUGAGCUUAAACGUUAACUUUUUGUACCUUAGUUCCUUUAAAAAAAAUGUUUGUAUCGAGUCUAGAUGUCAUUUUGUUAAUGGAUUGCUAGACAUAUCAAUGUUUGGCUGUUAAAUAGCCUUUGAUUAUGGUUGUAAAACUAUGUAGGGAGACAAAAUUUAAAAUAAGUUUAAUGUAAAGUAGCUCUCUAUAAUUGCCCUGCAAACUGUUUUGACUACGUUUCAGAUAAGCCUAUAGUAGAAUGUAUAUUUAUGGAUACUUUGUUAUUUAUUCCUAUUUGUAUUUUAUAGUUGGUCUCGCUAACAGGACUGUACAUAUGUUUACUUCCAAAAAUGUGUAUAACUAAAAAAUAAACUCCUCUGUGCUUUA
rnacentral:misc_RNA from 1 species